rnacentral:tRNA from 1 species
GGGGACAUGGCGCAGCGGUAGCGCGUCUGCUUUGCAUUCUUAUGUUUCUUGUAGAAGGUCAGGGGUUCAAGCCCCCUUGUCUCCA